rnacentral:sRNA from 1 species
GCAGCGGUUUUGCCCACGCGGAGACGGU